AACGGCCGUACCAUGCUGAAUAUACCGGUUCUCGUUAGAUCACCGAAGUUAAGCAUCAUUGGGCGCGGUCAGUACUUGGGUGGGUGACUGCGUG
rnacentral:rRNA from 1 species